rnacentral:rRNA from 1 species
GACGAACGCUGGCGGCGUGCCUAAUACAUGCAAGCUGAGCGCUGAAGGUUGGUACUUGUACCAACUGGUUGCGCAGCGCACGGGUGAGUAACGCGUGGGGAAUCUUCCUUUGAGCUGGGGACUACCUUUGGAAACGAAUGCUAAUUCCGCAUAAAAACUUUAAACACAAGUUUUAAGUUUUAAAGAUGCAAUUGCAUCACUCAAAGAUGAUCCCGCUUUGUAUUAUCUAGUUGGUGAGGUAAAGGCUCACCAAGGCGAUGAUACAUAGCCGACCUGAGAGGGUGAUCGGCCACAUUGGGAAGGAGACACGGCCCAAAAUCCUACGGGAGGGAGCAGUAGGGAAUCUUCGGAAAUGGACGAAAGUCUGAACGAGCAAAGCCGGGGGAGGGAAGAAGGGUUUCGGAUCGGAAAACUCUGUUGGUAGAGAAGAAAGUGGGUGAGAGUGGAAAGCUCAUCAAGUGACGGUAACUACACAGAAAGGGACGGCUAACUACGUG